rnacentral:rRNA from 1 species
AGUUUGAUCCUGGCUCAGAUUGAACGCUGGCGGCAUGCCUUACACAUGCAAGUCGAACGGCAGCACGGACUUCGGUCUGGUGGCGAGUGGCGAACGGGUGAGUAAUAUAUCGGAACAUACCCUAGAGUGGGGGAUAACGUAGCGAAAGUUACGCUAAUACCGCAUACGCACUAAGGUGGAAAGUGGGGGAUCGCAAGACCUCAUGCUCAUGGAGUGGCCGAUAUCUGAUUAGCUAGUUGGUGAGGUAAAGGCUCACCAAGGCGACGAUCAGUAGCUGGUUUGAGAGAACGACCAGCCACACUGGAACUGAGACACGGUCCAGACUCCUACGGGAGGCAGCAGUGGGGAAUUUUGGACAAUGGGCGCAAGCCUGAUCCAGCAAUGCCGCGUGAGUGAAGAAGGCCUUCGGGUUGUAAAGCUCUUUUGUCAGGGAAGAAACGGUUGUUCCUAAUACGGAUGACUAAUGACGGUACCUGAAGAAUAAGCACCGGCUAACUACGUGCCAGCAGCCGCGGUAAUACGUAGGGUGCAAGCGUUAAUCGGAAUUACUGGGCGUAAAGCGUGCGCAGGCGGUUAUAUAAGUCAGAUGUGAAAUCCCCGGGCUCAACCUGGGAACUGCAUUUGAGACUGUAUGGCUAGAGUGUGUCAGAGGGGGGUAGAAUUCCACGUGUAGCAGUGAAAUGCGUAG